GCCCAACAGCUAGCCCACCUAAACAAUUUCAACAAACCCCUGUUAAUACCCCCUAAGUACCCCAGUAUUUAAAUUAAACAAACCAUUUUUCCCCCUUAGUAUAGGCGAUAGAAAAGGGCCCCCGGCGCAAUAGAGAAAGUACCGCAAGGGAACGCUGAAAGAGAAGUGAAAUAACCCAGUAAAGCCUUAAAAAGCAGAGAUUUAAACUCGUACCUUUUGCAUCAUGAUUUAGCGAGUGUACCUCAAGCAAAGAGCACUUUAGUUUGACGUCCCGAAACUACGUGAGCUACUCCAAGACAGCCUAUUAAUAGGGCGCACCCGUCUCUGUGGCAAAAGAGUGGGGAGAGCUUUGAGUAGAGGUGACAAACCUACCGAACCUAGUUAUAGCUGGUUGUCCAAGAAAUGAAUAGAAGUUCAGCCUCCUGGCUUCUCUUUUCACCCUAGUUUAACCCCUAUUGAUGCAUUAAAGAAACCGAGAGAGUUAGUCAAAGGGGGUACAGCCCCUUUGAAUCAAGACACAACUUUACCAGGCGGGU
rnacentral:rRNA from 1 species